rnacentral:rRNA from 1 species
GACGAACGCUGGCGGCGUGCUUAACACAUGCAAGUCGAACGGAAAGGCCCUUCUUUUGUGGGGUGCUCGAGUGGCGAACGGGUGAGUAACACGUGAGUAACCUGCCCUUGACUUUGGGAUAACUUCAGGAAACUGGGGCUAAUACCAGAUAGUAGCUCCUGCUGCAUGGUGGGGGUUGGAAAGUUUCGUCGGUUGGGGAUGGACUCGCGGCUUAUCAGCGUGUUGGUGGGGUAGUGGCUUACCAAGGCUUUGACGGGUAGCCGGCCUGAGAGGGUGACCGGCCACAUUGGGACUGAGAUACGGCCAAGACUCCUACGGGAGGCAGCAGUGGGGAAUAUUGCACAAUGGGCGGAAGCCUGAUGCAGCAACGCCGCGUGCGGGAUGACGGCCUUCGGGUUGUAAACCGCUUUCGCCUGUGACGAAGCGUGAGUGACGGUAAUGGGUAAAGAAGCACAGGCUAACUACGUG